UUGACCUCGAAUCAGGUGGGACUACCCGCUGAA
rnacentral:rRNA from 4 species